GAUGAACGCUAGCUACAGGCCUAACACAUGCAAGUCGAGGGGCAGCGGGAAGGAAGCUUGCUUUCUCGCCGGCGACCGGCGCACGGGUGCGUAACGCGUAUCGAACCUACCCUUUACUCGGGAACAGCCUUGCGAAAGCAAGAUUAAUGCCCGAUGUUCCGCGUUUGCCGCAUGGCAAAUUCGGCAAAGAUUUAUUGGUAAAGGAUGGCGAUGCGUCCCAUUAGUUAGUUGGCGGGGUAACGGCCCACCAAGGCGACGAUGCGUAGGGGUUCUGAGAGGAAGGUCCCCCACACUGGUACUGAGACACGGACCAGACUCCUACGGGAGGCAGCAGUGAGGAAUAUUGGUCAAUGGGCGCAGGCCUGAACCAGCCAAGUCGCGUGAGGGAAGACGGUCCUACGGAUUAGUAAACCUUCUUUUGUCGGGGAGUAACGUGCGGGACGCGUCCCGUAUUGAGAGUACCCGAAGAAAAAGCAUCGGCUAACUCCGUG
rnacentral:rRNA from 1 species